UGCGUAGGUGGUUAUGUGUGUCGGAUGUGAAAGCCCAGGGCUCAACCCUGGAAGUGCAUCCGAAACUGCAAAACUAGAGUACAGGAGGGAGAGCGGAAUUCUUGGUGUAGCGGUGAAAUGCGUUGAUAUCAAGAAGAACAUCGGAGGCGAAGGCGGCUCUCUGGAAUGUAACUGACACUGAGGCACGAAAGGUUGGGGAGCGAAGA
rnacentral:rRNA from 1 species